rnacentral:rRNA from 1 species
GCCCUAUGCUGGAUAAUAACCUCGGGAAACUGAGAAUAAUGAUCCAUAGUUCACUACGCCUGGAACGGUGAGUGGAUGAAAGCUCCGGCGGCAUAGGAUGGGCCUGCGGCGUAUCAGGUUGUAGGGGGUGUAACGUACCCUCUAGCCCUCUACGCGUACGGGUGUUGGGAGACAUAGCCCGGAGAUGGAUUCUGAGACACGAAUCCAGACCCUACGGGGUGCAGCAGGCGCGAAAACUUGGCAAUGCGAGAAAUCGUGACCAGGGAACUCCAAGUGCAUCGGGUAAGACCGGUGCUUUUCUUGACUCUAAAUAGGUCUUGGAAUAAGGGGUGGGUAAGGACGGUGCCAGCCGCCGCGGUAAUACCGGCGCCUCAAGUGGUAGUCGCUUUUAUUGGGCCUAAAACGUCCGUAGCCGGUCUGAUACAUUCGUGGGUAAAUCAACCAGCUCAACUGGUUGAAUUCUGCGAGGACGGUCAGACUUGGGACCGGGAGAGGUGUGGGGUACGCUCAGGGUAGGGGUAAAAUCCUGUCAUCCUGAGCGGACCACCUGUUGCGAAGGCGCCACACUAGAACGGAUCCGACGGUCAGGGACGAAGCCUAGGGGCACGAACCGGAUUAGAUACCCGGGUAGUCCUAGGUGUAAACGCUGUGGACUUGAUGUUGGGGGUGCUCCGAGCACUCUCAGUGUCGAAGCGAAGGUGAUAAGUCCACUGCCUGGGAAGUACGGUCGCAAGGC